GACGAACGCUGGCGGCGUGCCUAAUACAUGCAAGUAGAACGCUGAAGGAGGAGCUUGCUUCUCUGGAUGAGUUGCGAACGGGUGAGUAACGCGUAGGUAACCUGCCUGGUAGCGGGGGAUAACUAUUGGAAACGAUAGCUAAUACCGCAUAAGAGUAGAUGUCGCAUGACAUUUGCUUAAAGGGUGCAAUUGCAUCACUACCAGAUGGACCUGCGUUGUAUUAGCUAGUUGGUGAGGUAACGGCUCACCAAGGCAACGAUACAUAGCCGACCUGAGAGGGUGAUCGGCCACACUGGGACUGAGACACGGCCCAGACUCCUACGGGAGGCAGCAGUAGGGAAUCUUCGGCAAUGGACGGAAGUCUGACCGAGCAACGCCGCGUGAGUGAAGAAGGUUUUCGGAUCGUAAAGCUCUGUUGUAAGAGAAGAACGAGUGUGAGAGUGGAAAGUUCACACUGUGACGGUAGCUUACCAGAAAGGGACGGCUAACUACGUG
rnacentral:rRNA from 1 species